AGUCGAGGGGCAGCAUUUCAGUUUGCUUGCAAACUGGAGAUGGCGACCGGCGCACGGGUGAGUAACACGUAUCCAACCUGCCGAUAACUCGGGGAUAGCCUUUCGAAAGAAAGAUUAAUACCCGAUGGUAUAAUCAGACCGCAUGGUCUUAUUAUUAAAGAAUUUCGGUUAUCGAUGGGGAUGCGUUCCAUUAGGCAGUUGGUGAGGUAACGGCUCACCAAACCUUCGAUGGAUAGGGGUUCUGAGAGGAAGGUCCCCCACAUUGGAACUGAGACACGGUCCAAACUCCUACGGGAGGCAGCAGUGAGGAAUAUUGGUCAAUGGGCGCAGGCCUGAACCAGCCAAGUAGCGUGAAGGAUGACUGCCCUAUGGGUUGUAAACUUCUUUUAUAUGGGAAUAAAGUUUUCCACGUGUGGAAUUUUGUAUGUACCAUAUGAAUAAAGAUCGGCUAACUCCGUGCCAGCAGCCGCGGUAAUACGGAGGAUCCGAGCGUUAUCCGGAUUUAUUGGGUUUAAAGGGAGCGUAGGUGGACAGUUAAGUCAGUUGUGAAAGUUUGCGGCUCAACCGUAAAAUUGCAGUUGAUACUGGCUGUCUUGAGUACAGUAGAGGUGGGCGGAAUUCGUGGUGUAGCGGUGAAAUGCUUAGAUAUCACGAAGAACUCCGAUUGCGAAGGCAGCUCACUGGACUGCAACUGACACUGAUGCUCGAAAGUGUGGGUAUCAAACAGGAUUAGAUACCCUGGUAGUCCACACAGUAAACGAUGAAUACUCGCUGUUUGCGAUAUACAGUAAGCGGCCAAGCGAAAGCAUUAAGUAUUCCACCUGGGGAGUACGCCGGCAACGGUGAAACUCAAAGGAAUUGACGGGGGCCCGCACAAGCGGAGGAACAUGUGGUUUAAUUCGAUGAUACGCGAGGAACCUUACCCGGGCUUAAAUUGCAUUUGAAUANUNUGGAAACAGNUUAGCCGCAAGGCAAAUGUGAAGGUGCUGCAUGGUUGUCGUCAGCUCGUGCCGUGAGGUGUCGGCUUAAGUGCCAUAACGAGCGCAACCCUUAUCUUUAGUUACUAACAGGUCAUGCUGAGGACUCUAGAGAGACUGCCGUCGUAAGAUGUGAGGAAGGUGGGGAUGACGUCAAAUCAGCACGGCCCUUACGUCCGGGGCUACACACGUGUUACAAUGGGGGGUACAGAAGGCAGCUACCUGGUGACAGGAUGCUAAUCCCAAAAGCCUCUCUCAGUUCGGAUCGAAGUCUGCAACCCGACUUCGUGAAGCUGGAUUCGCUAGUAAUCGCGCAUCAGCCAUGGCGCGGUGAAUACGUUCCCGGGCCUUGUACACACCGCCCGUCAAGCCAUGAAAGCCGGGGGUACCUGAAGUACGUAACCGCAAGGAGCUCCUAGG
rnacentral:rRNA from 1 species